rnacentral:ribozyme from 1 species
CAACAGGUGCCUGGUACAGACGACUCGGAACUCCGUUGUAUCAUUAUAGACAAGGAAGUCGACCGCCAAGCGAAAGACAUAAAGUAUCAAGAAUCCCAGGUCGAAGGAGGAUGGAUCGAAGACCAUGCAUUGAUAGACGAAG